UCCUGGAUGGUCUUGCGGAAAGAGUCUGCUCACUAAUGGUGAACAGGCUCGAAGAUAUCUGACUGAUUAUCCUAGUUGUGAGGUCUGUGAUCUCGGUAUUUGUAGACCUAAAUCAUGUAUUAAGAGAUUACCACCAAAUCUUCUCCAUUAGACCCCCCCCCCCGGCUUUCCAUCAUAGCUUUCUUGUUCGAGGUAUUUAUAAGCGAAAUACAAACGCCCACCAUAUCCACCCUAGCUUCUUUCUUUGCUAUCGGCUUCUCGACAUGCAACUAGGUGUCAAGAGAGGUUGCUGGUGCAGAGAGGCGUGAGAGAGCUUCUUUCUGUCUUGUGUGGUUCGACUCGGAGAGAGAGGUAGAAAGAAGCAACUCAUCGGUGGAUUGGGAGAGGCCGAGUGGAGACGGGUAGGUUCCCAUUGCUUCUUCAUCAGAGGAGGAUCCCAGAAAUUUUCGGCUGUCUCAGCUGCCCGUCUCUGCUUUUUUUCCGUCGCCAACGUCGCUGUUCCUCUACCUCCGUUGUGUGCUACUGUUCUCUAUCGCGUACUCAUAGUCCAGAAACGUCACCGUGCAAACAACCUUGCUAGAUAGUGCCCGGUGCAACUUGUCUCGGGUCAGCUUCCUUGUCAAUUCACUUCUUCGGUAGUUUCCGCAAGCUUCCC